AUGAACGCUGGCGGCGUGCCUCAUACAUGCAAGUCGAGCGAACAGACGAGGAGCUUGCUCCUUUGACGUUAGCGGCGGACGGGUGAGUAACACGUGGGUAACCUACCUAUAAGACUGGGAUAACUUCGGGAAACCGGAGCUAAUACCGGAUAAUAUUUCGAACCGCAUGGUUCGAUAGUGAAAGAUGGCUUUGCUAUCACUUAUAGAUGGACCUGCGCCGUAUUAGCUAGUUGGUAAGGUAACGGCUUACCAAGGCAACGAUACGUAGCCGACCUGAGAGGGUGAUCGGCCACACUGGAACUGAGACACGGUCCAGACUCCUACGGGAGGCAGCAGUAGGGAAUCUUCCGCAAUGGGCGAAAGCCUGACGGAGCAACGCCGCGUGAGUGAUGAAGGUCUUCGGAUCGUAAAACUCUGUUAUUAGGGAAGAACAAACGUGUAAGUAACUGUGCACGUCUUGACGGUACCUAAUCAGAAAACCACGGCUAACUACGU
rnacentral:rRNA from 1 species